rnacentral:rRNA from 1 species
UACCUACGGGGCGCAGCAGUGGGGAAUAUUGGGCAAUGGGCGCAAGCCUGACCCAGCAACGCCGCGUGAAGGAAGAAGGCUUUCGGGUUGUAAACUUCUUUUCUCAGAGACGAAGCAAGUGACGGUACCUGAGGAAUAAGCCACGGCUAACUACGUGCCAGCAGCCGCGGUAAUACGUAGGUGGCAAGCGUUAUCCGGAUUUACUGGGUGUAAGGGGCGUGUAGGCGGGAAAGCAAGUCAGAUGUGAAAACCACGGGCUCAACCUGUGGCCUGCGUUUGAAACUGUUUUUCUUUAGUACUGGAGA